rnacentral:misc_RNA from 1 species
GAUGAAGAACGUAGCGAAAUGCGAUAAGUAGUGUGAAUUGCAGAAUUCAGUGAAUCAUCGAAUCUUUGAACGCACAUUGCGCCCCUUGGUAUUCCAUGGGGCAUGCCUGUUCGAGCGUCAUUUGUACCUUCAAGCUCUGCUUGGUGUUGGGUGUUUGUCUCGCCUCUGCGUGUAGACUCGCCUCAAAACAAUUGGCAGCCGGCGUAUUGAUUUCGGAGCGCAGUACAUCUCGCGCUUUGCACUCAUAACGACGACGUCCAAAAGUACAUUUUUACACUCUUGACCUCGGAUCAGGUAGGGAUACCCGCUGAUCUUAAGCAUAUCAAUAAGCGGAGGA